UCCGUAGGCGGUGUGGUAAGUCGGGAGUGAAAUCUCUGGGCUUAACCCAGAGGCUGCUUCCGAAACUGCCGUGCUAGAGUGUGAGAGAGGCGAGUGGAAUUACGGGUGUAGCGGUGAAAUGCGUAGAUAUCCGUAGGAACAUCCGAGGCGAAGGCGGCUCGCUGGAUCACAACUGACGCUGAGGGACGAAAGCUAGGGGAGCAAACA
rnacentral:rRNA from 1 species